UCCGGUUGAUCCUGGCGGAGGUCAUUGCUAUCGGGGUCCGAUUUAGCCAUGCUAGUCGCGCGGGUUAGACCCGCGGCGUAUAGCUCAGUAACACGUGGCCAAACUACCCUACAGACGAGAACAACCUCGGGAAACUGAGGCUAACACUCGAUACGCGUUGACCGUUUGAACACGUCGACGCUCAAACGCUCCGGCGCUGUAGGAUGUGGCUGCGGCCGAUUAGGUAGACGGUGGGGUAACGGCCCACCGUGCCGAUAAUCGGUACGGGUUGUGAGAGCAAGAGCCCGGAGACGGAAUCUGAGACAAGAUUCCGGGCCCUACGGGGCGCAGCAGGCGCGAAACCUUUACACUGCACGCCAGUGCGAUAAGGGGACCCCGAGUGAAAGGGCAUAUCGCCCUUUCUUUUCUGAACCGUAGGGAGGUUCAGGAACAAGAGCUGGGCAAGACCGGUGCCAGCCGCCGCGGUAAUACCGGCAGCUCGAGUGAUGACCGAUUUUAUUGGGCCUAAAGCGUCCGUAGCUGGCCGCGCAAGUCCGUCGGGAAAUCCACCCGCUUAACGGGUGGGCGUCCGGCGGAAACUGUGCGGCUUGGGACAGGAAGGCUCGAGGGGUACGUUCGGGGUAGGAGUGAAAUCCCGUAAUCCUGAACGGACCACCGAUGGCGAAAGCACCUCGAGAGGACUGAUCCGACAGUGAGGGACGAAAGCUGGGGUCUCGAACCGGAUUANAUACCCGGGUAGUCCCAGCCGUAAACGAUGUUCGCUAGGUGUGACACUCACUACGAGUGAGUGUUGUGCCNCAAGGNAANCCGCUAACCGAACCCCCUGGG
rnacentral:rRNA from 1 species